rnacentral:rRNA from 1 species
UACGUAGGGUGCAAGCGUUAAUCGGAAUUACUGGGCGUAAAGCGUGCGCAGGCGGUUGUGCAAGACCGAUGUGAAAGCCCCGGGCUCAACCUGGGAAUGGCAAUGGAAACUGGCGGGCUAGAGUGUGGCAGAGGGGGGUGGAAUUCCGCGUGUAGCAGUGAAAUGCGUAGAGAUGCGGAGGAACACCGAUGGCGAAGGCAGCCCCCCGGGCUAGCACUGACGCUCAGGCACGAAAGCGUGGGGAGCAAACAGG